CAGGGAAUAUUGCACAAUGGGCGAAAGCCUGAUGCAGCAACGCCGCGUGCGCGAUGACGGCCUUCGGGUUGUAAAGCGCUUUUCGGGGAGAUGAGGAAGGACAGUAUCCCCGGAAUAAGGCUCGGCUAACUACGUGCCAGCAGCCGCGGUAACACGUAGGAGCCAAGCGUUAUCCGAAUUCACUGGGCGUAAAGCGCGUGUAGGCGGCUUGGUAAGUUGGAUGUGAAAGCUCCUGGCUCAACUGGGAGAGGACGUUCAAUACUGCCGGGCUAGAGGGCGACAGAGGGAGGUGGAAUUCACGGUGUAGUGGUGAAAUGCGUAGAUAUCGGGAGGAACGCCAGUGGCGAAAGCGGCCUCCUGGGUCGCACCUGACGCUCAGACGCGAAAGCUAGGGGAGCGAACGG
rnacentral:rRNA from 1 species